rnacentral:rRNA from 1 species
UGGGGAAUAUUGCGCAAUGGGGGAAACCCUGACGCAGCAACGCCGCGUGAAGGAUGAAGGUUUUCGGAUUGUAAACUUCUUUUGCAGGGGAAGAUAAUGACGGUACCCUGCGAAUAAGCCACGGCUAACUACGUGCCAGCAGCCGCGGUAAUACGUAGGUGGCAAGCGUUGUCCGGAUUUACUGGGUGUAAAGGGCGAGUAGGCGGGAUCGUAAGUCAGUAGUGAAAUGCGGAGGCUCAACCUCCGAGCUGCUAUUGAAACUACGGUUCUUGAGUGAUGGAGAGGCAGGCGGAAUUCCCGGUGUAGCGGUGAAAUGCGUAGAGAUCGGGAGGAACACCAGUGGCGAAGGCGGCCUGCUGGACAUUAACUGACGCUGAGGCGCGAAAGCGUGGGGAGCAAACA